UACAGAGGUCCCGAGCGUUGUUCGGAUUCACUGGGCGUAAAGGGUGCGCAGGUGGGUUGGCAAGUUUGAUGUGAAAGCCCCGGGCUUAACCCGGGAAAGGCAUUGAAUACUGCUGAUCUGGAGGAUUGGAGGGGGGACUGGAAUUCUUGGUGUAGCAGUGAAAUGCGUAGAUAUCAAGAGGAACACCAGUGGCGAAGGCGAGUCCCUGGACAAUACCUGACACUGAGGCACGAAAGCUAGGGGAGCAAACAGG
rnacentral:rRNA from 1 species